rnacentral:rRNA from 1 species
CUUGACACUGAACAUUGAGCCUUGAUGUGUAGGAUAGGUGGGAGGCUUUGAAGUGUGGACGCCAGUCUGCAUGGAGCCGACCUUGAAAUACCACCCUUUAAUGUUUGAUGUUCUAACGUGGACCCGUGAUCCGGGUUGCGGACAGUGUCUGGUGGGUAGUUUGACUGGGGCGGUCUCCUCCUAAAGAGUAACGGAGGAGCACGAAGGUUGGCUAAUCCUGGUCGGACAUCAGGAGGUUAGUGCAAUG